UAUACCGUGAAACUGCGAAUGGCUCAUUAAAUCAGUUAUCGUUUAUUUGAUCGUACCUUACUACUUGGAUAACCGUGGUAAUUCUAGAGCUAAUACAUGCUGAAAACCCCGACUUCGGGAGGGGUGUAUUUAUUAGAUAAAAAACCAAUGCCCUUCGGGGCUGCUUGGUGAUUCAUGAUAACUUCGCAGAUCGCAUGGCCUUGCGCCGGCGACGGUUCAUUCAAAUUUCUGCCCUAUCAACUUUCGAUGGUAAGGUAUUGGCUUACCAUGGUUUCAACGGGUAACGGAGGGUUAGUGCUCGACCCCGGAGAAUCCGCCUGAGAAACGGCGAAUACAUCCAAGGAAGGCAGCAGGCGCGCAAAUUACCCAAUGCCAACACGGCGAGGUAGUGACGAGCAAUACUGAUACAGGGCUCUUUUGGGUCUUGUAAUUGGAAUGAGUACAAUUUAAACCUCUUAACGAGGAACAAGUGGAGGGCAAGUCUGGUGCCAGCAGCCGCGGUAAUUCCAGCUCCACGAAAAUGUAUUAAAGUUGUUGCAGUUAAAAAGCUCGUAGUUGAACCUUUGGCCUGGCUGGCAGGUCCGCCUCACCGCGUGCACUUGACCGGCCGGGCCUUCUUUUCUGGAGAACCGCAUGCCCUUCACUGGGUGUGUUGGGGACCAGGACUUUUACUUUGAAAAAAUUAGAGUGUUCAAAGCAGGCCUUUGCUCGAAUACGUUAGCAUGGGAUAAUAGAAUAGGACGUGCGGUCCUAUUUUGUUGGUUUCUAGGACCGCCGUAAUGAUUAAUAGGGACAGUCGGGGGCAUCAGUAUUCAAUUGUCAGAGGUGAAAUUCUUGGAUUUAUUGAAGACUAACUACUGCGAAAGCAUUUGCCAAGGAUGUUUUCAUUAAUCAGUGAACGAAAGUUAGGGGAUCGAAAACGAUCAGAUACCGUUGUAGUCUUAACCAUAAACUAUGCCGACUAGGGAUCGGGCGGUGUUUUCAUUUUAACUCGCUCGGCACCUUACGAGAAAUCAAAGUG
rnacentral:rRNA from 1 species